CCCUGCAGCCAUCCCUCCUUGGGCAGGGAUCCCAUCAGAUUUUACAAGCCAGGCAGGGUCAGGCCUGGUAAAAAACGUGAAUGGGAAUGCCCAGAACAACAAAGGCAGCGGGCG
rnacentral:rRNA from 1 species